rnacentral:lncRNA from 1 species
CUCACAAAUUUUUGCAGAUUUAUAAAGUAGAUACAUAUCCAAUCCACCAAUUAUGGAUUAUCAAAUUUUCAAUUCAAUUCAAUUCACUAAUCUACAAAUCGAAUUUCUAUAAAUUAAACGGAUUGUAUUGAAUCUAGCCAAUAAGGCCAUAAACGAAAAAAUUCGAACCUGUUUGAAUCGGGUUCUUCAAUAAAACCCAGCCGAUCCGUAUCGUUCGGUUUCGCAUUUUUUUAAACCUAUUUGGGCCUGGGCAAGACAUAGCCCUCUAAUUGUAUUGGGUUUGGGCUGCUCUAGCCCAUAAAAACAACUCUCCAAUUUUAACAGGAUUUAAACCGAAAAAGACGUGCGUAUCCCCAUGUUUGCCGAAAAUGAUAAGAAUAAAUUGGACUUGCAUAAUAAAAGAGUAAUUUAAUAACGCUGUUUGAAUCCACCAAUUUUUUACCAAUUUUCUCUU